rnacentral:rRNA from 1 species
GACGAACGCUGGCGGCGUGCUUAACACAUGCAAGUCGAACGGAAAGGCCUGCUUUCCCUUGUGGAUUGCGGGUACUCGAGUGGCGAACGGGUGAGUAACACGUGAGUGAUCUGCCCCCAACUUGGGUAUAAGCCUGGGAAACUGGGUCUAAUUCCCGAUAGGACUGCAGGGUGGUGCCUGUGGUGGAAAACGAUUUUCUAGUGGUUGGGGAUGAGCUCGCGGCCUAUCAGCUUGUUGGUGGGGUAAUGGCCUACCAAGGCGGCGACGGGUAGCCGGCCUGAGAGGGUGGACGGACACAUUGGGACUGAGAUACGGCCCAGACUCCUACGGGAGGCAGCAGUGGGGAAUAGUGCACAAUGGGCGGAAGCCUGAUGCAGCGACGCCGCGUGGGGGAUGACGGCCUUCGGGUGGUAAACUCCUUUCGACCGCGAGGAAGCCACCUGGUUGGAAGGGUGGUGACGGUAGUGGUAGAAGAAGCACCGGCUAACUACGUG